AUCUCGUAUACGAAGUUUCCGUUUAGCUAUAAAGUCAGGUCAGACUCUUAGGUGUUUAAAAUGCAGAAGUAAAAUGGUCUGUAAUGUCUAAGUGAAAAAGCUUUGAGACUAGUCAAAGAAGACCUUUCAGCAAUGCAAACAUGGAUAACAAGAUGCUAAAUCUGAAUGACGAGGCUUUUGCCUGGAGUCAUGCACACCUCUUGAAUUUCUUCUCAGCUUUCCUGCCAUCCGUGUGAUUUUGAACGAGGACUCUUAAGAAUACGAGGUGGGACUGGAACUGCUGCAACUGUCCUGCUGCCAGCCUGAGGAUGAAUAUCACAUAGAGUAGAGCGUCUCAGGGGAUGGAGACAGAGCCACUGGAUUG
rnacentral:lncRNA from 10 species